rnacentral:rRNA from 1 species
UACGAAGGGGGCUAGCGUUGUUCGGAAUUACUGGGCGUAAAGCGUGCGCAGGCGGCUUCUCAAGUCAGGGGUGAAAGCCCAGAGCUUAACUCUGGAAUUGCCUUUGAGACUGAGAGGCUUGAGUACGAAAGAGGAUCGCGGAAUUCCCGGUGUAGAGGUGAAAUUCGUAGAUAUCGGGAGGAACACCGGUGGCGAAGGCGGCGAUCUGGGUCGAUACUGACGCUGAGGUGCGAAAGCGUGGGGAGCAAACAGG